UAAAAAGGGCUCACUCCAGUCAGGGAGAGGAGGUGUAGCUGAAGGGUUGGUUAAUGAGGACACCCUCAAACCACUGGUUGCAGACCUGUAUGUGGUGUCUUCCUGCUUAGAGAGGUUUCUACAUGCACUAUACAGUCAAUCAGCGCUUGAAGUUGUGGUUCUGCCUACUGGGGAAAGGCAGAGUAAUCCAUCCUUCAAGAUGAGCAUGUUGAUGUCUUUCAUGGGUCACCUACAGACAAGAGAUUUGCUAGAGGCAUUUCCAAUCCCUGCUUCUGGGAUUGACCAUGAUUCCUGUGCAUCACUCUAGUUCCAUUCCAUCUUGAUGGACAGAGAAUGGAUCUUGCCACUAGAACUGGGCAAAUAUUGCAAAAAUGUAUUACUGAGUCCUGUUUGUUUACGACCCUCUUAUGAUUUUGCAUCAGAACUUUCAUUCACUUUUUGUGAAAAUUUGUGCCGGGGAGAUGUUGUUUGUAAGAAGGUUUGCAGGAAGCAUGUGUGUGGCUCUCACUUGUGCAAAAAUAUAUUCACAGGCAGAUAUUUGUGCAAAUUAUUUUGAAAAGUGUUCGCUAAACCAUUUUGAAAGCUCUGUGUGGAUUUGGGAGCAGAAAUAAUGCCUAGUGACUUAGGCGAGCAGCCAUACAGCAUGAAUUGUGAAUGAUGCAUAGAGAUGACUCUGUACAAGCAUCAUGGUGAAUAGUUCAUGAACUAGUCCAUAGGCUGAAAUGUUUGCCAUUUUCAAAAGCUUUUGAAUAGCAAAUGUAUUUGUAAAAGUCUAAGGCUGUUUUAGAAUAACAUGAACAGGGAAAGAGGCUAAAUUUAUUGAUUUUUUUCACUGCAAUUUUCAGCUCUCCUGAGCACCCAAACUCUGCAGUUCCCACAUAACAGCACAUUGCUGUGCUGUUAAAGGGAAUUGGGGACUGUGGGGAAGGAUAAGCACAUGCCCUUCCAAGUCUGAAGUUCCAGUGGAAUUUGGGUCAGAUUUAUAAAGGUAUUUAGGCAGCUAAAGAUGCUGAUAGGUGCUUUUGAAAAUCAUACUAGGCACUUAGGUGCCGCAUUGGAUUUGAGUUAGUUGCCUAAAUACCUUUACAAAUCUGGCCCUGUGUUACUUUUCCAACCAAGUGAUAAAGUGUAGUACACUAUUUCCUUUUGGGUUCCAAGGACAAAAACCCAAAUUCAGAGCUGAUGUAAACAUGUGCAACUCACUUGAAGUCAGUGGUGGAGUAGCCUCUUACACCAGAUCCAUAUAUAGCUCAUAAUGACUCAAGCUCUAUCUAUGCUAUGCUUGAUAGACUAACAUGCAGCUUAAUGGUGCAAUUGUAUGUGGAAAGACUUCUUCAUGACUGACAAGAAGAUACAGAAAAAUUUGUUUGCAACAUGGCCAUGAUUUAUAUUGUGCAUCCAGCUGAAGAAAAGGAAGGCAGAUAGAAUCUGGUCUUCUCCACAACGAUACCUGCUAUAAGUUUGUUCUGUUACUAAAAUCCUCAGUAGGACAAAAUGGGGUGUGUGUGUGUGGAGGGGGGAGAGACUAACACACUUUCACUAAUUAGUUUAACAAUUAAAUUUCCCUUUAUUCCUGGCUCUGGGAUUCAGGGAUUUUGUUGAAAUAUUUUUUUCAUGCAUUAAACAUUACUAGAAGCACUGAAUAUUCUUGAGAAUUUUCUCUCUCUCCCUCUGCUUUCUGGAUUACAGUAUUGCUAAAAGAGGAAGAAAAAUUCACUGUCUAUU